CAGUAGCCGCGGUAAUACGUAGGGUGCGAGCGUUAAUCGGAAUUACUGGGCGUAAAGCGUGCGCAGGCGGUUCGUUAAGACAGAUGUGAAAUCCCCGGGCUUAACCUGGGAACUGCAUUUGUGACUGACGGGCUAGAGUAUGGCAGAGGGGGGUAGAAUUCCACGUGUAGCAGUGAAAUGCGUAGAGAUGUGGAGGAAUACCGAUGGCGAAGGCAGCCCCCUGGGCCAAUACUGACGCUCAUGCACGAAAGCGUGGGGAGCAAACAGGAUUAGAUGACCCCCGUAGUCCCUGUCUCUUAUA
rnacentral:rRNA from 1 species